rfam:Enterococcus sp. RIT-PI-f contig_15, whole genome shotgun sequence.
GAGAACUAAUAUUUUGAGAAGUGGAAUGACGGAGUAACGCCCUGAAACGCUCCCCUAAUACUCCGAUUGGCUACUUUAUUAUAGAGACAAAGUUGUCAAAAGCUCGGUGAAGUCGGUUGAGAGUUACCGUAAUUGCGAAAGCAAACGAAAACUAUCCAGAGGUGGAUGGCGUAACCUAUAGACCGGGGGUCUAAAAA